rnacentral:lncRNA from 1 species
CGUUUUUUCCCCUCUGGACCCCUUGCAUUUGACUAGGAGGGUUACAAACCGCGUCUGUAACGGCAUUUCCAUCACCAGCUUGUCGUUCCACGAAGGGUAGCUGCCUCCUUCUCCGUCGACCUUGCUCGCCUUGUUGUUGAAAGGGUCGACCGAAACGACGACGUAGGCGUUCUUUUUCACCGGUUUGUUGUCGAUUCUCAGGUCUUCUGCUGAUAAAACCGUGAUCUCUAGAGUGCGAGACUUGGUCUCCAUUAAAUUAAUUAAACCAAAGAAGAAUCAAAGAAGGUUUCUAAGAAAUUUUUGGGUUUUUAAUUAAAAUUUUAGAGGCUAUGGCUUAUGAGAAGAAAGGCUCCUAAGGGAUAUAUAUAUACAUAAUACACACACAUAUAGGAAGUUAAUAUGAAAGGAAGAAGAAAGAGGGAGGGUGCUUCAGGUUAAGACUUGAAUAUUUUACACCCAAGACUAUUGAAUAUAAUAAAGGAUUAAUUUCAUCAUAAAUCCUCAAACUAUACGUCAGAUUUUAAACUGGUUCUUGAAUUUAAAAACGAAUGAGCUUAACCUAGCUCUAAACUUAAGCACUAAAUGCUAGCUCGAAUUUAACAUAUAGAUCAAAUUUUAAUCUAGUAAAUUUUAAUGGAACUAGUUUUCUUUAAUCAAAUUCAAAAGUUAUAGACUUAUAGUAGGUAGACAUGUAAUUGAAAUUAGAAUAAUAACAAAAAUGUCCUUAAUGCUUACACUUUUUUGACAAAUUAGCACCUCUUCUUCUUCUUUUUCUUUGAGUAGUUUUGCCUUCAUCAUUUCAAUUUCAUGACAAAUUUGUUUGAUUUUUAGCAAAAUUAAUAAUAGUGCCUACGUGGCAUAAUUGUGUGUCAAUAUUGAAUUGAUAUAGUUUAAACGAUGUUGGUUUUUUUUAUACAAUGUCUAGAACUACUCAUAACUCCUCAUCAACACUUAAAUAGAAAGAUAAAUAUACUUUAAUGCACUUGAAUCCACAUCCCCUUACACCGACAACAAUACCAAUAUUAGCCGAGCUAAAACAAUUUUGUUUUAAAUGAUAAAAAUUGUAGAUCCGAAUAUCUAACCUAGAAUCAGAAAGGGUAAAAAUUGAUAUAAACUCUAAUAUUCUAAGUACAAAUACUCAAUACCCCCAGGACUCUAGUUUUUUUUUUUUUAAUUUCAUAUAUAAAACAACAUCAUUUUAACCAUGGAAAUUAAAAAUUUACACAGUUUCAUGGGACAUCAACCCAGUACAUUAUUAAAAUGUUUUAAAAUUUAGGACUAAUUUGAAUUUGCAUCAUGGUUAACGGGUGCUGCGUGUCAAAGUGCGGUUAUUCAAUUUUGGCGUGUGCUGCGUUUUUAAUUUUCUACUAUAAAGUUUCUAGCGACGGCCGCCGUAAAAGCAAAAAUUUUAAUAUUUAAUUUAAAGGAAACUAUAUUAAUAAUCACCUGUAAAUUAUUUUUUGUCACCUAAUUAUGAAAAAUUACUGAAUGUUUACUUAACUAUUCGAAUUUUUCGUUUUUGGUCAAAAGUCGUUACAUUAUUAAUGGGAAUAUAACUUGUCACUUGUAGCUUUUAAAAUUGAGAUAAUAGCAACUUUAAUCAUUAGUAUUUAUAUAAUGUGUCAAUUUAGUCUUGAUUUUAAAAUUUUAACACUCAACAUUUAUAUAUUGUGUAAUUUGGUCAUUUUUGUAAUUCUACUUUUCUUUGUGAUAUUGAAGGUUAAUUUUAAAAGAAUAAGAAAAGAUGAAAAUUGUUAUCUUAAAAUUUUGAGUGUUUCUAUUUUUGGUAUAUUUUCAAUCAAAUUUAGCUUAUAAAUUUUUUUAGCUUUUUAGGUGAUAAGGUCACAAAGAAAAGUAAAACUACAAAAAAAAAGAGAUCAAAUUACACAAUGUAUAAAUAUUGAGGGUUAAAGUUGCUAUCUUUCCAUUUUUAAAAGUUGUCGUGUGACCAAAAAAAAAAACUUACUAAUAGUUGGAUAACACAAUGUAUAAAUGUUUGGGAAGUAAGAAGCCCCUUUGACAUCUCUUCAUCUGCAAAGAAUUCUCGGUGUGAAAACACAAAGACAGAGGGCUGAUCUUUGAAUGGGAAAAAGAGUGGAUCCGUAGGAUCCCAAAUGAAUUGGCUUAUCCGAAAAAAGCCUUAUUCUUUGGAAGAUCUAUCUCGUGCCUAGUACUGCAUGGUUCCACUCUUCAAGAAUGUCGAAUCAUUCUCUUGAAGCUCAUCCUUUUCAUCAUAAAUGAUCCGCUUGCCUCGAAAUGACCCGGCCUAAUAGGGAAAUCCCAAUUCAUUUGGCCUUUCGAUAUAAUCAAAUAGAAAGCCCCAAGGGCGCCAUAUCUUGUUCAUGGCCCGACCCGAAAAGUGGGAGAGUUUAGGCAACAAUAUAGGCCUGAAAAUGGGUUUGAGUACAAAAAUAAGACCCAUUUAAAAAAUAGGCUGGGCCUUGGGUAAGGUAUUUUUUGUCCGGGCUCGAUUUGAAUUCACAAAAGGAUAAAAAAAAUCUACUAUUUUUUUGUUGUUUUAAUGCCAUUUUCUUGUUGUUUUCUCCCUAUUUUGUUAUUAUGUUGCUACUAUUUUGUCAUUAUUGUUCAAAUAUUGUAUAACGUUUGUUUUAUUGUUAAUUUUGUUAUUAUUUUAGAGGCAUUUGUUUGUUAAGUUGCAUCUAUCUUAGUGUUAUUUAAGUAUACAUAUUUUUAAAUUUUUAUUUUUAAUUUGUUGAGAAAUAUUUGUUUUAAUUUUUUAGCAUUUCUAAUGUAUUUAUAUCUGGGUCAGGUCAGACUCGAGUUUUAGCAUUUUUAUCUGGGCCGUGCUUAGGUAAAAUUUUAGGCCCAUUUUUUGGGUUUGGGCCUAAAAUUUUAUCCAAACCUGGCCUGGCCCGCCCUAUGAACACCUCUAGGGCCAAAGUGUAAUUUUAUUUUUAUUAAUUUUAAAAUUUUAAAGAGUCUAAAUGAAUUUUUUUUUCAUUUUAAGGGAGACCCCUUCCAACCCCUAACUACUUAAUUAUCGAAAAAUAAAAUGUUAUUGCGAAUUAAAUGGCAAAAACCACUUAAUUAUCUUUAUGCUCACCAAAUCAAAAUACAUAAACUAUAUUUCAUAAUUUAUAUAAAUUAAUAGCAAUAUUUAACUAAAAUAAAUUUAAUGACAAACCGAGUCUAAAUCAUUGGUGCACAUAGUUUAUAUAUAGUCAUAUAUCUUUAAACUAGUUUAAUCUUGGCUUCUACAAUUACAACCUAUCAAUAUUAUAAUCAGAAUCCAAAACCUCAAAUCAAUUAACACAAAUUUUAAAUCAAUUAAACAUAAUUUGAUCAUAAAAAAGUUAAUAAUUAAAACUCACUUAAUUCGAAUAAAAAAUGGUCCAAAUAAAAAAAAAUGCUCGACUAAAUAGACUUAAACUUAAAAUAUUAGUAAAUUUUAAAAAAGCCUCUCGAUUUAAUUCGCACCGAAUUGAAUCUUAUAGUCAACUCAAAAAAAUUAAUUAAACCCUUCCAUUUUUUAUUACAUUGGAUGACAAUCCAUGAUUUAACCUUUCAAAUUUGAAUUAAGAGAAUUAAUUGAUUUUUUUUUAUUUUAUUUGAUUGGAUUAAACAAAAUUGUUGGAAUAUGUUUGUGUACUUUUUGUACAACUUUUGCAAUUACUUCAAUUGAAUCACUACAAAUAUCAAUCAUUUAAUACAACGAAUUAGAUGGAUAACCAGUCCAUAUUGGAAUCCCAGUAACCACACCAUAAUCUCUUCGUCCAUCAAUGGGAAUUCCCAGCCCUAUCGCCGCCGCAUUACCACCACCACCAGCAGCCUGUGAAGAACAAUUCUGCAAAGGCUCUUUCACUCUCAACGAAACAUUAAUAAUCCCAUUCUUCAAUCCCUUGGGAUCCCUUAACCGGUAACUUAAGAACUGCAAACAAGCCGCCGGCGAAUACCCUCCGACGAAAUCCGUCACCGGUAUCCUUGCUAACCCCACCGUUUUUUCCCCUCUGGACCCCUUGCAUUUGACUAGGAGGGUUACAAACCGCGUCUGUGACGGUAUUUCCACCACCAGCUUGUCGUUCCACGAAGGAUAGCUACCUCCUUCUCCGUCGACCUUGGUCGCCUUGUUGUUGAAAGGGUCGACAGAAACGACGACGUAGGCGUUCUUUUUCACCGGUUUGUUGUCGAUUCUCAGGUCUUCUGCUGAUAAAACUGUGAUCUCUAGAGUUCGAGACUUGGUCUCCAUUGAUAAUGAAGAUUGAAAAUAAAAAGGUUUCUAAGUAUUGGGUUUUAUUGGAAAUUAUGAGAGGCUAUGGCUGAU